rnacentral:rRNA from 1 species
CCUACGGGAGGCAGCAGCAAGGAGUUUUCCGCAAUGGGCGAAAGCCUGACGGAGCAACGCCGCGUGGGGGAUGACGCCCUUCGGGGUGUAAACCCCUUUUCUUGGGGACGAAGCAGUGACGGUACCCGAGGAAGAAGGCCCGGCUAACUACGUGCCAGCAGCCGCGGUAAUACGUAGGGGCCGAGCGUUGUCCGGAGUUACUGGGCGUAAAGCGCGCGCAGGCGGCUCGUCAAGCCUGACGUGAAAGCCCCCGGCUCAACCGGGGAGGGUCGUCGGGGACUGGCGGGCUUGAGGUCGGCAGGGGCUGGUGGAAUUCCCGGUGUAGUGGUGAAAUGCGUAGAGAUCGGGAGGAACACCCGUGGCGAAGGCGGCCAGCUGGGCCGGACCUGACGCUGAGGCGCGAAGGCGUGGGGAGCGGACGGGAUUAGAUACCCCGGUAGUCCACGCAGUAAACGAUGCAGACUAGGCGUGGGGGGACUUGACCCCCUCCGUGCCGAAGCUAACGCGUGAAGUCUGCCGCCUGGGGAGUACGGCCGCAAGGCUAAGACUCAAAGGAAUUGACGGGGGCCCGCACAAGCGGCGGAGCGUGCGGUUUAAUUCGACGCAACGCGUAGAACCUUACCAGGGCUUGACAUGCACCUGCAGAGCCGUGAAAGCGGUUGGCCUUCGAGGGUGGUGCACAGGUGCUGCAUGGCUGUCGUCAGCUCGUGUCGUGAGAUGUUGGGUUAAGUCCCGCAACGAGCGCAACCCUCGUGGUUAGUUGUCGAUGUUUCUAGCCAGACUGCCGGUAGCAAGCCGGAGGAAGGUGGGGAUGAUGUCAAGUCAGCAUGGCCCUUACGUCCUUGGCUACACGCACGCUACAAUGGCCCGGGACAUGGGCUGCCAAACCGCAAGUGGAGCGAAUCCCACAAACCCGGUCUUCAGUUCAGAUCGCGGGCUGCACUUCGCCG